rnacentral:rRNA from 1 species
UGGGGAAUAUUGCACAAUGGGCGGAAGCCUGAUGCAGCGACGCCGCGUGAGGGAUGACGGCCUUCGGGUUGUAAACCUCUUUCAGUAGGGACGAAGCGUAAGUGACGGUACCUGCAGAAGAAGCACCGGCUAACUACGUGCCAGCAGCCGCGGUAAUACGUAGGGUGCGAGCGUUGUCCGGAAUUACUGGGCGUAAAGAGCUCGUAGGCGGUUUGUCACGUCGUCUGUGAAAUCCUAGGGCUUAACCCUGGACGUGCAGGCGAUACGGGCUGACUUGAGUACUACAGGGGAGACUGGAAUUUCUGGUGUAGCGGUGGAAUGCACAGAUAUCAGGAAGAACACCGAUGGCGAAGGCAGGUCUCUGGGUAGUAACUGACGCUGAGGAGCGAAAGCAUGGGUAGCAAACAGG